GGCUCUCUGGCGUAACUGGCAGCCGCGCCGGCCUCAAACACCGGUGCCCGCAUGGGCGUGCGGGUUCGACUCCCGCGAGAGCCAC
rnacentral:tRNA from 1 species